UACAGAGGGGGCAAGCGUUGUUCGGAAUUACUGGGCGUAAAGGGCUCGUAGGUGGCCAACUAAGUCGGACGUGAAAUCCCCAGGCUCAACUUGGGAACUGCGUCCGAUACUGGAUGGCUUGAAUUCGGGAGAGGGAUGCAGAAUUCCAGGUGUAGCGGUGAAAUGCGUAGAUAUCUGGAGGAAUACCGGUGGCGAAGGCGGCAUCCUGGACCGACAUUGACGCUGAGGAGCGAAAGCUAGGGGAGCAAACGGG
rnacentral:rRNA from 1 species